CCCCCCCCCUCCUUAGUGAA
rnacentral:tRNA from 1 species